rnacentral:rRNA from 1 species
GAAUUUUAUAUAAAAUUUAUAAUAAAAUUUAAAAUUAUAAUUUAGUUUAAUAUAAAAUUUUAUAUUUAAUUGGGAGGAUUGUUAAAUUUUAUUAACUUUAAUUAAAAUAAAUAAUAUAAAUUAAUAAAUUAAAGAAUGGUUGAUAAAUUAAAUAAGAAUUAAUUACCUUAGGGAUAACAGCAUAAUACUUUUGGAGAGACCAUAUCGAUAAUAGUGUUUGU